UACGAAGGGGGCUAGCGUUACUCGGAUUGACUGGGCGUAAAGGGCGCGUAGGCGGCUUGUACAGUCAGACGUGAAAUUCCUGGGCUCAACCUGGGGGCUGCGUCCGAUACUGGCAGGCUUGAAUCCGGGAGAGGGAUGCGGAAUUCCAGGUGUAGCGGUGAAAUGCGUAGAUAUCUGGAGGAACACCGGUGGCGAAGGCGGCAUCCUGGACCGGCAUUGACGCUGAGGCGCGAAAGCCAGGGGAGCAAACGGG
rnacentral:rRNA from 1 species